UGAAGCGGCAAAAGCUCAAAUUUGAAAUCUAGCACUUUCAGUGUUCGAGUUGUAAUUUGAAGAAGGUAACUUUGGUUUUGGCUCUUGUCUAUGUUCCUUGGAACAGGACGUCACAGAGGGUGAGAAUCCCGUGCGAUGAGAUGCCCAAUUCCAUGUAAAGUGCUUUCGAAGAGUCGAGUUGUUUGGGAAUGCAGCUCUAAGUGGGUGGUAAAUUCCAUCUAAAGCUAAAUAUUGGCGAGAGACCGAUAGCGAACAAGUACAGUGAUGGAAAGAUGAAAAGAACUUUGAAAAGAGAGUGAAAAAGUACGUGAAAUUGUUGAAAGGGAAGGGCUUGAGAUCAGACUUGGUAUUUUGCGUUCCCUUCCUUUUUGGUUGGGUUCCUCGCAGUUUACUGGGCCAGCAUCGGUUUGGAUGGUAGGAUAAUGACAUUGGAAUGUAGCUUUACUUCGGUGAAGUGUUAUAGACUUUGUUGAUACUGCCUAUCUAGACCGAGGACUGCGUCUUUGACUAGGAUGCUGGCGUAAUGAUCUUAAGCCGCCCGUCUUGAAACACGGACCAAGGAGUCUAACGUCUAUGCAAGUGUUUGGGUGUAAAACCCGUACGCGUAAUGAAAGUGAACGUAGGUGAGAGCCUUUUAGGUGCAUCAUCGACCGAUCCUGAUGUCUUCGGAUGGAUUUGAGUAAGAGCAUAGCUGUUGG
rnacentral:rRNA from 1 species